AGUAACGCGUGAGGAACCUGCCUCAAAGAGGGGGACAACAGUUGGAAACGACUGCUAAUACCGCAUAAGCCCACGGCUCGGCAUCGAGCAGAGGGAAAAGGAGCAAUCCGCUUUGAGAUGGCCUCGCGUCCGAUUAGCUAGUCGGUGAGGUAAUGGCCCACCAAGGCGACGAUCGGUAGCCGGACUGAGAGGUUGAACGGCCACAUUGGGACUGAGACACGGCCCAG
rnacentral:rRNA from 1 species